rnacentral:rRNA from 1 species
GUCUAUGGCCAUACUACCCUGAACACGCCUGAUCUCGGAAGCUAAGCAGGGCCUGAUUAGUACUUGGAUGGGAGACCUCCUGAGGAUACUGGAUGCUGUAGGCU